GGCCGCGGGAAUUCGAUUCCUACGGGAGGCAGCAGUGGGGAAUAUUGGACAAUGGGCGCAAGCCUGAUCCAGCCAUGCCGCGUGAGUGAUGAAGGCCCUAGGGUUGUAAAGCUCUUUUGUGCGGGAAGAUAAUGACGGUACCGCAAGAAUAAGCCCCGGCUAACUUCGUGCCAGCAGCCGCGGUAAUACGAAGGGGGCUAGCGUUGCUCGGAAUCACUGGGCGUAAAGGGUGCGUAGGCGGGUCUUUAAGUCAGGGGUGAAAUCCUGGAGCUCAACUCCAGAACUGCCUUUGAUACUGAGGAUCUUGAGUUCGGGAGAGGUGAGUGGAACUGCGAGUGUAGAGGUGAAAUUCGUAGAUAUUCGCAAGAACACCAGUGGCGAAGGCGGCUCACUGGCCCGAUACUGACGCUGAGGCACGAAAGCGUGGGGAGCAAACAGGAUUAGAUACCCUGGUAGAAAUCACUAGUGAAUUC
rnacentral:rRNA from 1 species